rnacentral:sRNA from 1 species
GUGUUGUAGCUGUGAGUUGGAAGCACAAGCUACUCUUCACCCACAUGCUUUGUGUGUUGUAACUGUUCAGAUUGUUGUGUUCAAAUGUGCAUUUGGAUUAGCAAAGCCAGGCAAAAUUAUGUUCCCCUGAACGGACAAAAUUAGAUCGCUAAGGGUAGUUCCUCGGUUGUUCCAAAUGCCUUUUUUUUUUUUUUUUGGUGACAGGGUCUCUGUCACCCAGGCUGGAGUGCAGGGUGCAAUCAUGGUUCACUGCAGCCUCACCCUCCCAGGCUCAGACAAUCCUCCCACUUCAGCCUGCCAAGUAGCUGGGAUCACAGACUGCCUUUUAAUUAUUUUUUUAGAGAUGGGGUCUCCCUAUAUUGCCCAGGCUAGUCUCAAACUCCUGGACUCAAAUGAUCCUCUUCUCCAUGGCCUCCCAAAGUGCUGGGAUUACAGACAUGAGCCACUGUGCCUGGCCCCAUGUACUUUCACAUCUUACCUUCCUCCCAUAGAUUUUCAUUUAAAAUGGAUAUGGGUUAAGUGUUAUUAUCCUAAUUUUAUUAAUGAGGAAAAUUGAGGCAUGGCAUAGUCAGAUGGCAUGCUCAGGUUACCUGCUAGUUGGUACUGGAGCAAACAUAGAAGUAUGGUCUUAUAUCUCCCUACCCCAGGUACUUCCUAUUCUGCCAUUGUGUAUUGUGCCAUUCUUUCCCCACAGCCUAUGCCCAUCCUACAAUAUCUGUGAAGAUUGUGAAGCAGGGCCAUAUGGCCAUGACACUAACCACGUCCUGCUGAAGUUGCGGAGACCUGUUGUGGGCUCCUCUGAACCGUUCUGUCACUCAAAGUACUCUACUCCUCGUCUUCCUGCUGCUCUGGAACAAGUCAGGCUCCAGAAACAGGUUGAUAAGAACUUUCUUAAAGCAGAAAAGCAAAGGUUGCGAGCUGAGAAGAAACAACGUAAAGCAGAGGUCAAGGAACUUAAAAAGCAGCUUAAACUCCAUAGGAAAAUUCACCUGUGGAAUUCAAUCCAUGGACUCCAGAGCCCCAAGUCUCCUUUAGGCCGACCUGAGAGCUUGCUCCAGUCUAAUACCCUGAUGCUCCCUUUGCAGCCCUGUACCUCCGUUAUGCCAAUGCUCAGUGCAGCAUUUGUGGAUGAGAAUUUGCCUGAUGGGACUCACCUUCAGCCAGGAACCAAGUUUAUCAAACACUGGAGGAUGAAAAAUACAGGAAAUGUAAAGUGGAGUGCAGACACAAAGCUCAAGUUCAUGUGGGGAAACCUGACUUUGGCUUCCACAGAAAAGAAGGAUGUUUUGGUUCCCUGCCUCAAGGCCGGCCAUGUGGGAGUUGUAUCUGUGGAGUUCAUUGCCCCAGCCUUGGAGGGAACGUAUACUUCCCAUUGGCGUCUUUCUCACAAAGGCCAGCAAUUUGGGCCUCGGGUCUGGUGCAGUAUCAUAGUAGAUCCUUUCCCCUCUGAAGAGAGCCCUGAUAACAUUGAAAAGGGCAUGAUCAGCUCAAGCAAAACUGAUGAUCUCACCUGCCAGCAAGAGGAAACUUUUCUUCUGGCUAAAGAAGAAAGACAGCUUGGUGAAGUGACUGAGCAGACAGAAGGGACAGCAGCCUGCAUCCCACAGAAGGCAAAAAAUGUUGCCAGUGAGAGGGAGCUCUACAUCCCAUCUGUGGAUCUUCUGACUGCCCAGGUGGAAGAUUCAGCACUUUGAAGGGCAAGGGACAGAGGGAGAGAGCACAGGAGAGAAGGUGGUAGAGCCAUAGGCGGUAAUCAGGAAAUCAGAGAUAUGCCCACUUUGAUCUAGUCAGGUAUAUUUAAUGGGAAGGAGAUCACCCAUGGAAGCAAGUUUGUAAACUAGAUGUUUCCUCUUUGAAUUGGGAACUCAAUCCUGUACUUCCCCACAAACUCCCUUUAGUUGCCUCUUCACCUUGGCCUAGCUAAUUCUCCUUCAUACCUGCUGCAUUUUCUCUUUCCUGCUAUUGGGUUAUUUCAACAUCUAAUUCCCAUUUAACUCUUCUUGUUUUCACUUGUCUGGGGACAGGCAUGAAUUUGAACAGAGUUGAAUGCAAAAUGAUGUGGAAAUGGUCUACAGGUCCCAUCAAGACAUCGCUCCAGCAUGCACUCCAAACAGCCUAACAUUGUCUUUUUUUUAUAGGACCUGCUGUCCUUUGAGCUGUUGGAUAUAAACAUUGUUCAAGAGUUGGAGAGAGUGCCCCACAACACCCCUGUGGGUAAGAAUGUCACUCAUUUCAUCUUGUUCGUCUUACUAAUAGGCCCAAAAGUACCACAGCCUAGACACUGGUAGUGUUUUAUUCUGAGGAAAUGGCAAGGAUUUCUCCCACAGUAGGAUAGUAAAGCAGCAAUCAUGGAUCCGUUUUCCUUCUUUCCUGUCCUUUGUCAAAAGUAACAACAUGCUGGGCAUGGUGGCUCGUGUCUAUAAUCCCAGCUCUUUGGGAGGCCAAGGCAGGAGGAUCACUUGAGGCCAGGGUUUGAGACCAGCCUGGGCAACAUGGUGAAACCCCCAUCUCUACAAAAAUUACUUUUAAAAAUUAGCUGGGUGUGGCCAGGCACGGUGGCUCACGCCUGUAAUCCCAGCACUUUGGGAGGCUGAGACGGGCAGAUCACCUGAGGUCGGAAGUUUGAGACCAGCCUGACCAACAUGGAGAAACCCCUUCUCUACUAAAAAUACAAAAUUAGCUGGGCAUGGUGGCACAUGCCUGUAAUCCGAACUACUCGGGAGGCUGAGGUGGGAGAAUUGCUUGAACCCAGAAGGCGGAGGUUGUGGUGAGCUGAGAUUGCACCAUUGCACUCCAGCCAGGACAACAAGAGCAAAACUCCGUCUCAAAAAAAAAAAAUUAGCUUGGCAUGGCGGCCUGCACCUGUGGUCCCAGCUACCAGGGAGACUGAAGUGGGAGAAUCUCCUGAUCCCAGGAGGCAGAGGCUGCAGUGAGCCAGGAUUGUGCCAUUGCUCUCCAGCCUGGACGACAGAGUGAAACCCAAUCUCAAAAAACAAACAAAAAAAAGAGGCUGGGCACGGUAGCUCACGCCUGUAAUCCCAGCACUUUGGGAGGCCAAGGCUGGUGGAUCACAAGGUCAGAAGUUCAAGACCAGCCUGGCCAAGAUGGUGAAACCCCAUCUCUACUAAAAAUACAAAAAUUAGCCAGGCAUGGUGGCAGGUGCCUGUAAUCCCAGCUACUCGGGAGGCUGAGGCAGAGAGUUGCUUGAACCUGGGAGGCGGAGGUUGCAGUGAGCCGAGAUUGUGCCACUGCAUUCUAGCCUGGGUGACAGAGCAAGACUGCAUCUC